UACAGAGGGUGCGAGCGUUGUCCGGAAUCACUGGGCGUAAAGGGCGCGUAGGCGGUGGCUUAAGCGUGUGGUGAAAGCUCAGGGCUCAACCCUGAGUCGGCCGUGCGAACUGGGUCACUGGAGCAUGUCAGAGGCAGGCGGAAUUCCGGGUGUAGCGGUGGAAUGCGUAGAGGAUCCGGAAGAACACCGGUGGCGAAAGCACUCUGCUGGGCCGACACUGAC
rnacentral:rRNA from 1 species